rnacentral:rRNA from 1 species
GACGAACGCUGGCGGCGUGCCUAAUACAUGCGAGUUGAGCGCUGAAGGUUGGUACUUGUACCUACUGGAUUAGCAGCGAACGGGUGAGUAACGCGUGGGGAAUCUGCCUUUGAGCGGGGGACAACAUUUGGAAACGAAUGCUAAUACCGCAUAAAAACUUUAAACACAAGUUUUAAGUUUGAAAGAUGCAAUUGCAUCACUCAAAGAUGAUCCCGCGUUGUAUUAGCUAGUUGGUGAGGUAAAGGCUCACCAAGGCGAUGAUACAUAGCCGACCUGAGAGGGUGAUCGGCCACAUUGGGACCGAGACACGGCCCAAACCUCUACGGGAGGCAGCAGUAGGGAAUCUUCGGGAAUGGACGAAAGUCCGAACGAGCAACGCCGGGGGAGUGGAGAAGGGUUUCGGAUCGGAAAAAUCUGUUGGUAGAGAAGAAAGUUGGUGAGAGUGGAAAGCUCAUCAAGUGACGGUAACUACUCAGAAAGGGACGGCUAACUACGUG